rnacentral:rRNA from 1 species
GACAGAAGGUGCAAGCGUUACUCGGAAUCACUGGGCGUAAAGGGUCCGCAGGUGUUCUAUUAAGUCUGGUGUAAAAGCACGGAGCUCAACUCCGUGUAUGUGCCGGAAACUGGUAGGAUAGAGUCAUUCAGAGGUAUCUGGAAUGUCGUGUGUAGGGGUAAAAUCCGUUGAUCCACGAUGGAACGCCAAAAGCGAAAGCAGGAUACUGGGAAUGUACUGACACUCAUGGACGAAAGCGUGGGGAGCAAAGGGG